UGGGUGUAUACUACAGGUCACCAGAUCAGGAGGAGGAGGUCGAUGAGGCCUUCUGCAAGCAGCUGGUACUAGCCUCACAAUCACGGGCACUGGUUCUCAUGAGGGACUUCAAUUUUCUGGACAUCUGUUGGCCCCAGAGGUCAGUGCUGCCUUCAUCCAGAGGUGCGUGCUCUUGAACAAUCCCUGUGGACAUUUGGUCAUGCCAAAGGAGAUACUAGAAACUAUUUUGGAAGAAAUUUUGGAAGGACAAUCAAUUAUGGAAGACAUCAUCUGACAGUCUGCAUACUGUAUUAGACAAAAUAUUAUUUCCGGACCUGAAGUCAAUUCUUUUUCAGAAACCACAAAUUUGGAUCAGAAGUUUCCAAAGCUCUACAUAAAUCUCUGCUAUACAUAAGUGCCUAUCUAUGCAUAUACUUUGGUUUCAGUUUAUUAUUAUUGUAGGUCACAGUAAAUAAAAUCAUUUACUUUUGACUUAAAUAUUGGGGAAAGUGUAUUCUAAUUUGAAAAAGGUGGCUACUUACACAUAAGAAAUUAGAAUUGCUGUAACUGUGAUAAUCUAAAUAUAUAGAAUUGCUGUAUCCAUAAUAAUUGCAGGAUGUAAAGAAACAAAGCUUUUAAAUGUGAGUUAUAACUUUUAUUUUUUCAAGUAUAUAGUGGGAGAAAUAAUCUUGCAUUCCUGAAAUCUUGUCUACUCAUCCAAAAUAAUAAGGUGGAUAUUGAAAUAUUUAUAUCUUGAAAGAUUAAAAAAAAAAAUAAUAAUAAUGAUAAUGAAGAAGAAGAAGAAGGGGAAGGAGAAGGAAAAGAUGUGUAUGACAUUGUGUGCUCAGGUGAUAAUGAAACUCCACUCUGUAGAGUCAACUCUGUAUUUGUUGAGUAAUAAUGGACCAUUCCCUGAAAACAGUUUUCUUUCUUCUGUAACAAAAUGAAGGAUAUCCACCAGUAGUAAGAUUGUUCUAGAUGAGUUCAGAAAGCAUAUGGACAGAAUAAUCAAAUAGCAGUAAAGAUUAGUGUCACAAUCAUGGUCAUUCAUGACAAUGAUAUUUUAUGCUUUUGGAGUGAUUUGAAACUAGAAUGGUAUAAAAACCAUUUGAAAGCAGAGUAAAAAUGUUGAAAUCAAUAUUUUCAUGUUUCAAAUUUUAAGUUUUACAGUUUGAUGUUACAACAGCUUAUACUGAUUUUGAAGAAAGCAUGCUUAGAUCAAGGGUAUUUCCAAGAUGAAGGUGAUAGUGAUGGUGAUUAGCAACUACUUACUGAGGAAGAGGGACUAACAUUAAUAGAUAUGCCUGCAAUCCUGUAUUCUUAUGAUUUGUAGGACAUUUAGAAAAGAUACACAUAUAUACACACAAGCGUAAUAAAAUAUAUACAUAUGACUGUAUAAAUACAUAAACUUAUAUGUAAUUAUAAAAAUAUAUCUUCCUUAAGUCCAAACUUCUGGAAUUAUUUAGUUAUGGAAGCAUCUCUGCUGUCAUGAAAAGGAGUACAUUUUCUAGUGCUUAGGCUAGAAAAAAUAAACCUUUGUAAACCCUGAAGGCUGAAAACCAUUACACAAACAAAAAGAAUUGGAAAUGUAUUUUUGAAAUGUAUGCUGUUGACAAUACUGAUCCCUGUAACCAUAUAAUCCACAUGUCCAUCAGGGCUUUUCCACAGAAUCCCAUUAAAAAGAUUCCCCUCUUGGGAGAAAAAAAAAAUAAAAAAAAUGAACUUUUAAAGCCUUAGGACAGCAUAAACUCUACCUUGCAAUAGAUUCUUGGGGCAUAUUCCUCUCCUAUCUUCAAUGCACAAAAUGUAUUGCUAGCACUCAAGAAGUAAUAAACCUACCUGAAGCAUGCAGAAAGAACAAGUGGAUUUUUUAGUAUGCACCAAAUUUAUGCUGAAAAGUGUGACCAUGCAGUUUUUAUAACUAAAAGUUAAAUUGUUUAACUUAUUGGACCAACAGUUUUAGUGAAUAAUAUAUUCCGUGAUCUGUCACUGAACUACAUGCAGUGUAAACUGUGUACUCUAUGAACCUCUGCAGUAUAAAAACACAGUUAAUCUCUGAGGAAAUGUCUUUCAAAAUAAAUAAAUAAAUAUGUU